AUUGAACGCUGGCGGCAUGCUUUACACAUGCAAGUCGAACGGUAACAGGCCGCAAGGUGCUGACGAGUGGCGAACGGGUGAGUAAUGCAUCGGAACGUGCCCAGUCGUGGGGGAUAACUACUCGAAAGAGUAGCUAAUACCGCAUACGAUCUAUGGAUGAAAGCGGGGGACCGUAAGGCCUCGCGCGAUUGGAGCGGCCGAUGUCAGAUUAGGUAGUUGGUGGGGUAAAGGCUCACCAAGCCAACGAUCUGUAGCUGGUCUGAGAGGACAACCAGCCACACUGGGACUGAGACACGGCCCAGACUCCUACGGGAGGCGGCAGUGGGGAAUUUUGGACAAUGGGCGCAAGCCCGAUCCAGCAAUGCCGCGUGCAGGAAGAAGGCCUUCGGGUUGUAAACUGCUUUUGUACGGAACGAAACGGCUCUGGUUAAUACCCGGGGCUAAUGACGGUACCGUAAGAAUAAGCACCGGCUAACUACGUG
rnacentral:rRNA from 1 species